GAUGAACGCUGGCGGCGUGCCUAAUACAUGCAAGUCGAGCGAACAGACCAGGAGCUUGCUCCUCCGACGUUAGCGGCGGACGGGAGAGUAACACGGGGAUAACCCACCUAUAAGACUGGGAUAACUACAGGAAACCGGCGCUAAUACCGGAGAAUAUAUUGAACCGCAUGGGCCAAUAGUUAAAUACGGUUUUGCUGUCACUAAUAGAUAGAACCGCGCCGCAUUAGCGAGGUGGUAAGGUAACGGCUUACCAAGGCAACGGUGCGUAGCCGCCCUGAGAGGGUGCACGGCCACGCUGGAACUGAGACCCGGUCCAGACUCCUCCGGGAGGCAGCCGUAGGUACUCCGCCGCAAUGGGCGAAGGCCUGACGGGGCAACGCCGAGUGAGUGAUGAAGGUCUUCGGCUCGUAAAACGCUGUUAUUAGGGUUGAACAAAUGUGUAAGUAACUAUGCACGUCUUGACGGUACCUAAUCAGAAAGCCACGGCUAACUCCGUG
rnacentral:rRNA from 1 species